UACGAAGGGGGCUAGCGUUGUUCGGAAUUACUGGGCGUAAAGCGCACGUAGGCGGAUUUGUUAGUCAGGGGUGAAAUCCCGGGGCUCAACCUCGGAACUGCCUUUGAUACUGCAAGUCUCGAGCCCGGAAGAGGUGGGUGGAAUUCCUAGUGUAGAGGUGAAAUUCGUAGAUAUUAGGAAGAACACCAGUGGCGAAGGCGGCCCACUGGUCCGGUACUGACGCUGAGGUGCGAAAGCGUGGGGAGCAAUCAGG
rnacentral:rRNA from 1 species